rnacentral:rRNA from 1 species
GACGAACGCGGCGGCGUGCCUAAUACAUGCAAGUCGAACGCUUCUUUCCUCCCGAGUGCUUGCACUCAUUUGGAAAGAGGAGUGGCGGACGGGUGAGUAACACGUGGGUAACCUACCCAUCAGAGGGGGAUAACACUUGGAAACAGGUGCUAAUACCGCAUAACAGUUUAUGCCGCAUGGCAUAAGAGUGAAAGGCGCUUUUCGGGUGUCACUGAUGGAUGGACCCGCGGUGCAUUAGCUAGUUGGUGAGGUAAACGGCUCACCAAGGCCACGAUGCAUAGCCGACCUGAGAGGGUGAUCGGCCACACUGGGACUGAGACACGGCCCCAGACUCCUACGGGAGGCAGCCAGUAGGGAAUUCUUUCGGCAAUGGACGAAAGUU